GACGAACGCUGGCGGCGUGCCUAAUACAUGCAAGUAGAACGCUGAAGAGAGGAGCUUGCUCUUCUUGGAUGAGUUGCGAACGGGUGAGUAACGCGUAGGUAACCUGCCUUGUAGCGGGGGAUAACUAUUGGAAACGAUAGCUAAUACCGCAUAACAAUGGAUGACACAUGUCAUUUAUUUGAAAGGGGCAAUUGCUCCACUACAAGAUGGACCUGCGUUGUAUUAGCUAGUAGGUGAGGUAAUGGCUCACCUAGGCGACGAUACAUAGCCGACCUGAGAGGGUGAUCGGCCACACUGGGACUGAGACACGGCCCAGACUCCUACGGGAGGCAGCAGUAGGGAAUCUUCGGCAAUGGGGGCAACCCUGACCGAGCAACGCCGCGUGAGUGAAGAAGGGUUUCGGAUCGUAAAGCUCUGUUGUAAGUCAAGAACGGGUGUGAGAGUGGAAAGUUCACACUGCGACGGUAGCUUACCAGAAAGGGACGGCUAACUACGUG
rnacentral:rRNA from 1 species